rnacentral:rRNA from 1 species
GACAGAGGAUGCAAGCGUUAUCCGGAAUGAUUGGGCGUAAAACGUCUGUAGGUGGCUUUUUAAGUCCGCCGUCAAAUCCCAGGGCUCAACCCUGGACAGGCGGUGGAAACUACCAAGCUGGAGUACGGUAGGGGCAGAGGGAAUUUCCGGUGGAGCGGAUAGAAUGCGUAGAGAGUCGAAAAGAACACCAACGGCGAAAGCACUCUGCUGGGCCGACACUGACACUGAGAGACGAAAGCUAGGGGAGCGAAUGGG